rnacentral:rRNA from 1 species
AGAGUUUGAUUCUGGCUCAGAUUGAACGCUGGCGGCGUGCUUAACACAUGCAAGUCGAACGAGAAAGUCCUAGCUUGCUAGGGCGAGUAAAGUGGCGCACGGGUGAGUAACGCGUGAAUAAUCUACCUUCGAAUCUGUGACAACACACCGAAAGGUGUGCUAAUACCGGAUAAUAUCUUUUGCCCUUCGGUGUAGAAGAUCAAAGGCGGCCUCUUCUUGAAAGCCGUUGUUUGGAGAUGAGUUCGCGUACCAUUAGCUAGUUGGUGGGGUAAAGGCCUACCAAGGCUACGAUGGUUAGCUGGUCUGAGAGGAUGACCAGUCACACUGGAACUGAGACACGGUCCAGACUCCUACGGGAGGCAGCAGUGAGGAAUCUUGCGCAAUGGGGGAAACCCUGACGCAGCAACGCCGCGUGAGUGAUGAAGGCUCUUGGGUCGUAAAGCUCUGUCAAUAGGGAAGAAAUCAUCUAUGGUUAAUAUCCAUAGUUGUUGACGGUACCUAUGAAGGAAGCACCGGCUAACUCCGUGCCAGCAGCCGCGGUAAUACGGGGGGUGCAAGCGUUAAUCGGAAUUAUUGGGCGUAAAGGGAGCGCAGGCUGUUUUGCAGGUCAGAUGUGAAAGCCCGGGGCUUAACCCCGGAAGUGCAUUUGAAACUGUCAGGAUUGAGUCGUGCAAGGGAGGGCGGAAUUCCUGGUGUAGCGGUGAAAUGCGUAGAUAUCAGGAGGAAGGCCGGUGGUGAAGACGGCCCUCUAGGCAAUGACUGACGCUGAGGCGCGAAAGCGUGGGUAGCAAACAGGAUUAGAUACCCUGGUAGUCCACGCCCUAAACGGUGCGUACUAGGUGUGGGUGGCGAUAGUCAUCCGUGCCGUAGGGAAACCAUUAAGUACGCCGCCUGGGGAGUACGGCCGCAAGGUUAAAACUCAAAGAAAUUGACGGGGGCCCGCACAAGCGGUGGAGCAUGUGGUUUAAUUCGACGCUACGCGCAAAACCUUACCUGGGCUUGACAUGUUAGUAGUAGUGAACCGAAAGGGGAACGAUUCCUAGCAAUAGGAAAGCUAUCACAGGUGCUGCAUGGCUGUCGUCAGCUCGUGCCGUGAGGUGUUGGGUUAAGUCCCGCAACGAGCGCAACCCUCAUCCUCUGUUGCCCUUAACGGGGAUCUCUGAGGAAACUGCCGGCGAAGAGCUGGAGGAAGGUGGGGAUGACGUCAAGUCCGCAUGGCCCUUAUGCCCAGGGCUACACACGUGCUACAAUGGUAGAUACAGAGGGUGGCCAAGCCGCGAGGUGGAGCCAAUCCCACAAAGUCUAUCCAAGUUGGGAUCGGAGUCUGCAACUCGACUCCGUGAACCUGGAAUCGCUAGUAAUCGUGGAUCAGCACGCCACGGUGAAUACGUUCCCGGGCCUUGUACACACCGCCCGUCACACCACGAAAGUCUGUUGUACCCGAAGUAGGUGAGCCAACCCGCAAGGGAGGCAGCUUCCUAAGGUAUGGCCGGUAAUUGGGGUGAAGUCGUAACAAGGUAACC